GCUUUCCCUUUACAUUCUCUACUGCUACAAAUCUUCGCUUUUACUCAGUAGUUCUGAAGUUCAUGUCAUAAAUGUUAUUAUACAAACCACAAUAGUAAGUUACCAAUUAUGUGUGUUAGCCUUCUCUCCUUGGACUCCGUAUGCAAGCGUCGCCGCCAUCGGAAUGCUGCACCCACAGGUUUCGACUCCUUUCUCCAUUUUCCCAUGUCUGCUGCCUCACACUCCUGUCAUUUGUAUCCCCACCAUCCGAGAAUUGAGCCCACACACUACGACUCUU
rnacentral:misc_RNA from 1 species